AUUGAACGCUGGCGGCAGGCCUAACACAUGCAAGUCGAACGGUAGCACAGAGGAGCUUGCUCCUUGGGUGACGAGUGGCGGACGGGUGAGUAAUGUCUGGGAAACUGCCCGAUGGAGGGGGAUAACUACUGGAAACGGUAGCUAAUACCGCAUAACGUCGCAAGACCAAAGAGGGGGACCUUCGGGCCUCUUGCCAUCGGAUGUGCCCAGAUGGGAUUAGCUAGUAGGUGGGGUAACGGCUCACCUAGGCGACGAUCCCUAGCUGGUCUGAGAGGAUGACCAGCCACACUGGAACUGAGACACGGUCCAGACUCCUACGGGAGGCAGCAGUGGGGAAUAUUGCACAAUGGGCGCAAGCCUGAUGCAGCCAUGCCGCGUGUAUGAAGAAGGCCUUCGGGUUGUAAAGUACUUUCAGCGAGGAGGAAGGCGUUGCGGAUAAUAACCGCAACGAUUGACGUUACCCGCAGAAGAAGCACC
rnacentral:rRNA from 1 species